rnacentral:rRNA from 1 species
ACACGCAUGACACACUGCAUAUCAAUAAGCGGAGGAAAAGAAACUAACAAGGAUUCCCUUAGUAACGGCGAGUGAAGCGGGAAGAGCUCAAAUUUGAAAUCUUCAAGGUUUUACCUUGACGAAUUGUAGUUUAAAGAAGUGUUUUCUGUUGAAGUUUUGGUAAAAGUUCUUUGGAAUAGGACAUCAUAGAGGGUGAGAAUCCCGUAUUUGACCAUUAUUUUCAGCUGUGUGAUACACUUUCAAAGAGUCGGAUUGUUUGGGAAUGCAGUCCAAAAUGGGUGGUAAAUUUCAUCUAAAGCUAAAUAUUGGCGAGAGACCGAUAGCGAACAAGUACCGUGAGGGAAAGAUGAAAAGAACUUUGAAAAGAGAGUUAAACAGUACGUGAAGUUGUCAAAAGGGAAGCGUUUGACACCAGUGUUGUUUUCUCGAAAAUCAAUUACGAAUGUUUUGUUUUUAAGAAGUUAUGACUUCAUCGGCUUGCUUCUUUCUUUACGAAACUUUCUUAAUGCACUUUUCGGUUAACAAGUCAACAUCAAUUUCUUUUGUUGUAAAAGGGUAUGAGGAAGGUGGCUUUCUUUUCGGAGAAAGUGUUUAUAGCCUUGUACCUCUGCAAUCGGAGAGAUUGAGGUCUGCAGCGUAGAUCCUUCGGGGUUAGAUACAUUGUGCUAAGCUAUAGCCUUGUAUAGACAACUUGUUGACUAUACUCAGUCAUGUAGCUUACUCGCAUGAUAGCUAUUUUACCUACGCUUAGGAUGUUGACGCGCGUGUGUGCGUG